UUAAAAAAAUCCCUUUCAUUUAGAUCAUUUAGAAUCUAUUUAGCCUGUAUAGGCUAAAAGGUCAGAAAUAUAACAAGGCGAGAGGCCAUGAAGAGCUUUAAAAGUGAUCAACAGAAUUCUAAAACAUACUGGGAGCCAGUGUAAUGAAGCUAAAAUAGGGGUGAUGUGGUCAGAUUUCUUUCUUUUAUUUCUCUCACUUUCUGCAUGGCACGUCUCUUCUUGUUGAAUUGAUGUUCAGCUGCUCUUUCCUUCAGUUCUGUGUUGUUUGUUUCUACUUGAAGGGAUUCUCUGACAGUUCGGUUUCACCAUUCCAUUUGUCUCAUCUGUGGCACUUAUUGGCAAAUGGCAAGUGUCUACUUCAACUUCAGCAUCUUGUUAGCGUUGCAAUUCAUGAUUUACUUCAUGAUCACUAACUAGCCUCUAGUUUGAAGCUGGCAGAAUAACUUGCUUUCAAUAAAAAAAAAUGCUAGCAUGUAGCUAAAGACAAAUGAGAAGGACAGAUAAAGUGUUUCAGAGAGGACUGAACAGCAGGUAUCCCUUUACAGUAUCUUUGUGCUGUGGUGUGACGUCCUGUAAGAUAGACUAGAGCCACUGAGUUCAGAGAUUUCUGGUUUAUAACUCUGUUCUGUAAUCCACCUCUCUGACAGGACCUGACAAAGUCAAGUUUGGGAAUGAGGCUCAGCAGUUGGAGUGGGCAAAGCGGGAGAGUGAGAGAGCAGAGCGCGAGCGGCUGAAGAGGCUCAGACAGCAGGAGCAGGAAGACUUGGAGCUGGCCAUCGCCCUCAGCAAGGCUGAGAUGUCCAACGCAUGACCAGCAAUCUGUGCGGGCACUCACACACACACACACACACACACACACAGAGCAUAUAGACAGGCUAACAUGCAAACAAACAUGACUGACAUCUAAAUAUUCAGACAGAAAGCACAUUACUGAACUAACUCUCUCAAAAUCUGGUCCACACACACACAGAGGACCUGCCCCCCCCCAAACUCCACCAUUAAAAAGUAGACAUCAAAACUGAAGGUGGUGAAGUCAUCACUGCAGAACUCUAGAGAGGAUGAAGAAGGAGAAGAGGAGGCAAGAGGGGCUCGAUGGAAACAAACGGAUGCACUGUGUAUAUGCACUGUAGUGGCAGCACAGUAAUGUGAUGGAUCUGUUCACUGGACUGAGCCAACUUGCUGGCCAUUGCUGACAGAACACCUUGACAGUUUGAAUUUAGCAUGUUUUUCCUCUGCAGUUUUACUCACCAUGUAGGGAAGUAGCAUAUAUUAGCAUGUUAAACAAACAGUUGCUGUCAGUAGUAACUAGCAGCAGUGAGUAAAAUAACACUACAGUUCAAACUGCCAAGGUAGUACUUAAAAGGGACUGUUGCUGAUGUAUAGGGGUGACAUUGGAUAUAUGACUGAGCUGAUGGAGUAGACUGUGUCAGUUAGUAUUGUAGAGUGUUUUGCUGGUAAGAAGAUGCUACAGAAUGAGGUAUUACAUUUACAGAUAUAUUUUCAGUUAUUUGUUUAUAGAGGAAUAUAGAGAAGACUUUCGCUCCUCAGGAUGGAGAAUUUUCAAAUCAGUUUUCUCAUUAUUAUUUUUUUUCAGGAAAUACUGUCACUAACCCAGACUCAGAUAAGAAGUGAGAAGGUCGAUAUUAGUUGAGUUUUUUCACUUCUGCUGGAGGCUAACUGUUUCCCUCUGCUUUGGACAAAGAUAGGCAAAACUCUGUUCUGGAUAUACAGAAAUGAAAAUGAUAUUGAACUUAUCAUCCAACUCUGGGUUAGUUAUUGCACGCCAGGUUUUACUAUGAGAUUAGAGACUUUCACCUGAAGUACUGACAUGGCUGGAUUAUCAAGCAGGCAAAGCAGGCAAGUCUCAAACUUUCAGGUUUGAGACCCAGAAGCGACUCCCCCCUCCACUGGCUCUUUCUGUGUGAAAAAGAAACCUUUUAACCAACAUUAGUCGGAUAUGUUCACGUUUCACUCCCAUGAAGUACCUGACAAAUAAAAAUCACGUUUUAAAUUUCAACAUAUCCUUUGGAUUUGUUACAGUAACAAAUUGCACAGAUUUAUUUUCUUUGUCCAUUAGUGUGAGGGUGUGCUGACGAGAGUUUGCUGUGAUGACCUGCAGUACUCUCUACCCCGCUGUCCAGUGUAUAGAGAUAAACAGUGCAAACUACGCCUCUUCUCGACAGCUGUGCUCUGAUCCCAAUGCUGUGAUGUCACACAUGCAACAAAUCAAAGGCAAGAUGAGGGAAUUCAUUUUUCUACAAGUGACUGUGUUUUCUUUUUAGAAACCAAGGCUAUUAACAGUUUUUAUUUCAGCUGGUUAAUAUUUUGUUACUUUGGCAUGUUUUUGUUUUAAAAGAACAUCCAACUUGAAGUUUGUUUUGUGCUCUAAUUUUCAUUUGCUUUGGGACUGGCUGGCAGGUGUCAUUAGGCUGGAAUUUGAAAAUAAUGUGGUUUCUGAUGUGUCAUAGUUUCUGAUGUGCCAUGUUUGAUGAUCCAACAUGGACUUAACCACUCACCUUGUUUUUCUGAGUUGUCCCUUUUACUUGAAGUGGUGACUGAUGUUCGAGUGACGCUGAAGUCGACUCUAAACAGAACGGAUUCAGUCAAAAUUUCUGUUUCACUCAGAGCCCCUCUGUUGUAGUUUCAAAUAUCAUGUUGUGUUGGAUUUUACAUAUGCGAGUCUGUAUUCUGUGUGUCCAUGACCAAUCAUAUGCUUCAGUCAGUACCCAACAGUCUGUUGUCAACGGUACUUUAAGGGAUGACAUAUUGAGUUUGUUGUUUGGCAGAAAGAAGACGAACACUUGGCUUAGUUAAAGCAAAAGGUGUUGACAUUGUUAGUGUUCCUUAUUGAGACCAUUUUUACCACUAGCAGUUCUUUGGUCUCAGAACCAUCAUACGAUGUAAUACAGUGCUGGAUGUCUUCUGACGGAACUCGGAACAUUUCAACCAAGAUUAUUGAAGGAAGAACUUAGAAAAUACUUACAUCCCUUAAUGACUUGUAAGGCAGGUAUAGAGGAACAAAAACAAGAUUGUAUUGGCUUCAAAGUAAGAAAAACUGGCUGUCGCACAUCUUUCAUUCAUUGUAUUCGGACUUAAAUGUUGCUAACUGUAUUGCCCACUAUCAGGGGGGUGAAUAUUCUAACAUUCUUCCCAAAAUAAAUUUUACCAAAAUGUCUAGGUUCCAUCAGAUAUCCACCCUGGACUGAUAUGCAGUAUGAUUUGCCCUGGAUCAGGGCUAGGUGUCUGUAAAAUGCUAACAAGCUGUAUCUUGGGUGGAACUCUCAAACAAAAUACUUUUUAAUCCACUAAAACCUUAAGCCUAUUGUGAGCUAAGUGGUAAGUAGUAUGUAAACUUUGUGUUGGUGUUUGGUCACAGCAGCCUCUAAAAAAGGGCUUUGCACUGACUAGUAGGGCAGGAGGACGUGUUAUUAAUGUUACAUUUGCUUCUCCAGACACCACAUUGAACAAGAUGAUAGUAAUGAGGAGGUCCCCAUCAGGACUUAAAUAUCGAUAACGUUUAGAUUUUCCCCAGAUAUUAUACAUGUGUGUAACUGAGGGUAAAAAUGUUAAAAAUCCAUGUAAUGUGAAUUCACCAAAAUUGGACAGAAAUGCUUGAGUUAAAGUUGAUGUGCAGCCACUGAUUCUGCCAGGAAAUGUGAACUGCCUCUCCCUGCCAUUUUUUGUCUUGUUUACAUAUCAUGAAUAUUUACUUUGCUGUAGCUGUUACAAACAGCGUACUGUACCUGUAGGGGUGCAGUGUCCCUGGUACGUAGUGAGCUUUUCUAAACUGUACACGGACUGAACACCUGAACAGUUUCUAUCUACUUCUGAGCCAUAAAACAUGUUGACAUUUUGAAUAUUUGCUGUGCUGCUGUCACACUGUAGAGAGAAUGUUACUAUAUGAAGAACUUCAUCCCAUCAGUUUUAAUUCCUCAUUGAAACCAAAGGGUGCUGUUAGCUAUCAGCUUACAAGCUAGCUUGUUGUCAAAUCUUGAAAAUGUACUGAAGACGCAACAAUCAAAAAACCCCAAAAGGCUCAUUCUAUCCUGAAACAGCUGGGCACUAGUUUUUAGUGUUUUGUUAAUGCUAACAUUAACAUUACAUAACCUGCUGCUAACUGCCAACUGUUAAACUUUAGUUGAAUAUGGAAAGCCAUCGUUAACAAUGUCAUAUGCAGUUAACUAAAGUACCGCCAACUUGGUCACAACAAUGUGACAAGAAGCUUGCACAGCAAAAAGAAGCUACUAAUAUUCAAAGUGUCCACUUCAGUUUGGUCUCAGUGUGUUUGUGGUGUUUAAACCACAGCCAGAUGGCUCAGCUGCAGUUAGAAAGAAAACCACUUUAUGAGACGUGGACAGAAAUCUAUCAUUUAGAAUAGAUCUGAGUGUCACAGGAUGCUAUGGUACCUUCUGCUCUUGGAGGGGGUUUAGGCAACUUGUGAUAUUUUCACACAGUAUAAAUAGCAACGUCCAGGAAGCAGAGGGCUUCAUAGAAAAAGCCCAAUGCUGCCUGUAGUACCUCCCAGAAGCAGAAAGUACUUGAAUAUUAGAAAACUUGAGGUGGACUCUUUUCUGGAGCUUUCAACCACACAUAUUUCACAGUUGAAAGCUCAGGAAAAAGCUAUUUAGAAAAACUUUUUUCUAAAGUCAAGAAGGAACUUAACACUCAAAUAGAAAAGCUGUGUCCACGUUAACACACUGGGAGCUAGGGCUGGGUAUCAUUUGGAACUUUCUGACUCUAGCGGGGAUACGAUACCUGAGUUCCAGUACAUACACCAAACAACACUUUAUCUUUUGUAUUUAAAUAAGCCUAUGUUUUAAAUUUUUUAAUGUAAAUUAGUCUAAAAUUAGGCAAAUAAAAUCAGAAACUGUUUAAUCCAGGUGUAAGUUAAAAUAUUAUAAAUCUGACCCAGUAUUUAUUUGAUGCCAUCUUAUUGUACUUUUUGACACUCUCUGCUACAGACACAUUUCAGUCGGUACCAGAAAAUGUUGAUACUUGAUACCCACCCUGGUGUGAACUGUGACCCUCCAUCUGUUCUUCAUGUGUUCCUGUCCACCUCCCUCCCCCAGUCCAUCUGCAGUGUACUGCUUAGAGUGGUGCGUUCCACACCGGUACCAUCAUUCAUACUGUAUUUGUAACCUGAUACCUCCAUUGUGCAAUAGAUAAUGUUUAUUUUUAUUGUUGUUUUGUGUAUCAUGUGAAACCAGUGUGAUGUUUUUGAUAUGUAGCAUAUGUUUUUAAUAUGAUUAUUUAUGCACCCGCAACCAACCACGCCUCUGUCCCGACUUUGUCGAGGAAGUUCAUGCUUUGAUUUAAUGCCACUAGCAGCAGAAUCGACCAACCAGUCACUCAAAAUGCUUUUGUUAUUUUGGGGAAUUUCUCAAUAGUUUCUAAUUAUCAGCAAAGCUUGCAGUUAAAUAAACAAAAUCUGUAUGGGAUGACAGCUGAAAAAUAUCAAGAUUUACCAUUUAAUAAAUCCAUUGUUUUAGUAUUCAUGUUAUUUCUCUCAAAUUUGAUUUACGUACAAAGCCUUUUGAAUGCUUGGAUAAUUGUUCAGCCUUCAACUGCCCGUCCUCCCAUGUAGGCAAAAUAAUCUGAACUGUCUUUAUUAAAAUGCAUACAAUGUGUAUACAGUCUGUAUAGUAUCAUAUUAUGGUCUAUUUGUCUUACAGAAGAGAAGAGAAAGAAGAAAAAGUAAACUUGAUAAAGAACCAUUUGGAAGAAUAAUAGCUGAGGAGGGAACAGAUGCUGGUUUAUUUUGAACAGUGUUUCUCUCGACAUGGUCUGUACUGUUUACUAGAAUAAACAUUUCAGUUAAAUGAGAA